GUUAAAGCUAAAACCAUCACUGAGAUACAUUCUGAGGCAGAAAAAAAUCUUGGAUUGCGUCCCGGUGCUACUUCAAGUAUUAGAAAUAGUCGUGGUGUUAUUUCUGCCGCUCCAGGAGCUGCUGGUCCUGGGGGCUUUCUCAUCAACCGACCUGGCACUGGGGGUAUGAUGCCUGGCAUGCCAGGUACUAGGAGGAUGCCUGGGGUGCCCGGAAUUGAUAAUGAUAAUUGGGAAGUACCCAGGACCCGUUCAAUGCCAAGGGGUGAUGGAUCAACUAUGCAGCCUACGGGGCGUGUCCCAUCACCAAUGUUUAACAAGUCAUCCUCUGUGAAUACAAG
rnacentral:lncRNA from 1 species